ACGGAGGAUGCGAGCGUUAUCCGGAUUCAUUGGGUUUAAAGGGUGCGUAGGCGGACUAUUAAGUCAGUGGUGAAAUCCUACGGCUCAACUGCAGAACUGCCAUUGAUACUGACAGUCUUGAGUACACUUAGGGUAGGCGGAAUGUGUCAUGUAGCGGUGAAAUGCUUAGAUAUGACACAGAACACCGAUCGCGAAGGCAGCUCACUAAAUUGUAACUGACGCUCAGGCACGAAAGCGUGGGGAUCAAACAG
rnacentral:rRNA from 1 species